AGUGAACGCUGGCGGUAGGCCUAACACAUGCAAGUCGAACGGCAGCACAGUAAGAGCUUGCUCUUACGGGUGGCGAGUGGCGGACGGGUGAGGAAUACAUCGGAAUCUACUUUUUCGUGGGGGAUAACGUAGGGAAACUUACGCUAAUACCGCAUACGACCUACGGGUGAAAGCAGGGGAUCUUCGGACCUUGCGCGAUUGAAUGAGCCGAUGUCGGAUUAGCUAGUUGGCGGGGUAAAGGCCCACCAAGGCGACGAUCCGUAGCUGGUCUGAGAGGAUGAUCAGCCACACUGGAACUGAGACACGGUCCAGACUCCUACGGGAGGCAGCAGUGGGGAAUAUUGGACAAUGGGCGCAAGCCUGAUCCAGCCAUACCGCGUGGGUGAAGAAGGCCUUCGGGUUGAAAAGCCCUUUUGUUGGGAAAGAAAAGCAGCAGGUUAAUACCCCGCUGUUCUGACGGUACCCAAAGAACAAGCACCGGCUAACUUCGUG
rnacentral:rRNA from 1 species